GACGAACGCUGGCGGCGUGCUUAACACAUGCCAGUCGAACGGUGAAGCUCCAGCUUGCUGGAGUGGAUCAGUGGCGAACGGGUGAGUAACACGUGAGCAACCUGCCCCAGACUCUGGAAUAAGCGCUGGAAACGGCGUCUAAUACUGGAUACGAGAUCAAGCCGCAUGGUUAUGGUCUGGAAAGUUUUUCGGUUUGGGAUGGGCUCGCGGCCUAUCAGCUUGUUGGUGAGGUAAUGGCUCACCAAGGCGACGACGGGUAGCCGGCCUGAGAGGGCGACCGGCCACACUGGGACUGAGACACGGCCCAGACUCCUACGGGAGGCAGCAGUGGGGAAUAUUGCACAAUGGGCGAAAGCCUGAUGCAGCGACGCCGCGUGAGGGAUGACGGCCUUCGGGUUGUAAACCUCUUUCAGCAGGGAAGAAGCGAAAGUGACGGUACCUGCAGAAGAAGCACCGGCUAACUACGUG
rnacentral:rRNA from 1 species